AAAGGGAGACCUAAUUCCGGUAGGAGACGAAAAAAAAGUAGCCCCAACCAAGAAUCAAUCCCAAAAGGUCGGAGCGAGGCGAAAUUGGCUUUCAAACUAGGUUCUGGGUUCACACAAGACCUGAAUCAGGAACAAGGGCUAUUAGCUCAGGUGGUUAGAGCGCACCCCUGAUAAGGGUGAGGUCCCUGGUUCGAGUCCAGGAUGGCCCACCUGCACAGGUGGCAAAAACAAAGAAAAAAAGCUCCGAAUCAGCACCUUAUCUUACUUAUACAGUAAGAGAGAAUGCUGGCUCUGAGUUCAGAGUCCAGAGGAACCUUGAAAACUGCAUAGAGCUAGGUGAAAAAGCCAAAAAAGAAGACCGCAAG
rnacentral:tRNA from 1 species